rnacentral:rRNA from 1 species
GAUGAACGCUAGCGGGAGGCCUAAUACAUGCAAGUCGAACGGUAACAGGUAGCAAUACGCUGACGAGUGGCGCACGGGUGCGUAACGCGUACACAAUCUGCCUUAUACUGGGGCAUAGCCUUUGGAAACGAAGAAUAAUUCCCCAUAACAUAUAGAAGAGGCAUCUCUUUUAUAUUAAAGCUCAGGCGGUAUAAGAUGAGUGUGCGUCCGAUUAGGUAGUUGGUGAGGUAACGGCUCACCAAGCCAACGAUCGGUAGCUGGUCUGAGAGGAUGAUCAGCCACACGGGCACUGAGACACGGGCCCGACUCCUACGGGAGGCAGCAGUAGGGAAUAUUGGACAAUGGGCGCAAGCCUGAUCCAGCCAUCCCGCGUGAAGGAUGAAGGUCCUCUGGAUUGUAAACUUCUUUUCUUCGGGAAUAAAAACUGGGGUUCUCCUCAGCUUGAAGGUACCGAAGGAAUAAGCACCGGCUAACUCCGUGCCAGCAGCCGCGGUAAUACGGAGGGUGCAAGCGUUAUCCGGAUUCACUGGGUUUAAAGGGUGCGUAGGUGGCUUUGUAAGUCAGUGGUGAAAGCUCGGAGCUCAACUCCGAAACUGCCAUUGAUAC